UUCCUUGUGGUCUGAAGUGAAAUGUUAUUCUGGUACAAGCUUUAUGUAUUCACCGACCGCAAGUCGACAAUUGGAACCAAAGAAAAUUACUCGCAGCGCAUAACGAACUCGCAAACAAUGGUUAAUAGGCACCAAUACUCGCCGUGGCGAAUCAAGCAGGUCGGUGGUAGCGACUACCAACCUGAUGCAGCGAAAAAAGAACAGCUAGGUCAAUUUGAAUAAACAAUGUUGUAUCUUCAAGUUAC